UCCACUAAUUUUGCGCUUGUGCAAAAGUGGGCCACCUUUUUAGUUUUUGCAGAUUCGGGCCGAAUUUUCAGAAGGAUGACUAAACUACCCCUCUUUCAAAAUUCAUAAAAAUUAUAUAUUUUAAAUGUCUAGAAAAAUACAACUGCUAAGCCAUUAUGUAUAAAACUUCUUGGAAAUGACAACUGCUAAGUCAUAAUUAUAUGCAUGUACCUUUCUUGUAAAACAAGAAACCUCAUUCAAAAAAAAAUAAAAAAAAUAAAGAUUAAUUAAUAAGAUGAAAGAGUGCAAUAUUCUCUCAAAUAGUGCAACAAUCUCUUCAAAAUAGUGCAAUAUUUGUAUAAGUAGUGCAACAUAUGCAUUCUUAAUACACAUUUUGUAUGAUUUUUACACUAAGUUACGUACAGUUUAGUAUAUUACACGAAAAUAAUAUAAUAUAUUACAAUAUAUUAUAAAAAUUAUAUAAUAUAUGUACAAACGGUGCAUAUUUUACACUAUUUAUACAUAUAUUUGCACCAUUUCUGUAAAUGUUGCACUAUUAUGAGAGAAUGUUGCACCAUUUAAAUGUGUGUUGCACUUUCUUUUUGAAAAUUAAAUUUCAUUACAUAUAAAAUAAAGUGUCAAACUUCUUGAAAAUGACAACUGCUAAGCCAUAAUUAUAUGCAUGUACCUUUCUCGUGAAACGAGAAACCUCAUUCAAAAGAAAAUAAAAAAAAUAAAGAUUAAUUAAUAAGAUGAAAGAGUGCAAUAUCCUCUCAAAUAGUGCAACAAUCUCUUCAAAAUAGUGCAAUAUCUGUAUAAUUAGUGCAACAUAUGCAUUGUUAAUACACAUUUUGCAUGAUUUUUACACUAAGUUACGUACAGUUUAGUAUAUUACACAAAAAUAAUAUAAUAUAUUACAAUAUAUUAUAAAAAUUAUACAAUAUAUGUACAAACGGUGCAUAUUUUACACUAUUUAUACAUAUAUUUACACCAUUUGUGUAAAUGUUGCACUAUUAUGAGAGAAUGUUGCACCAUUUAGAUGUGUGUUGCACUCUUUCUUUUUGAAAAUUAAAUUUCAUUGCAUAUUAAAUAAAGUGUAAAACUUCUUGGAAAUGACAACUGCUAAGCCAUAAUUACAUGCAUGUACCUUUCUCGUGAAACGAGAAACCUCAUUCAAGAGAAAAUAAAAAAAAUAAAGAUUAAUUAAUAAGAUGAAAGAGUGCAAUAUCCUCUCAAAUAGUGCAACAAUCUCUUCAAAAUAGUGCAAUAUCUGUAUAAUUAGUGCAACAUAUGCAUUGUUAAUACACAUUUUGCAUGAUUUUUACACUAAGUUACGUACAGUUUAGUAUAUUACGCGAAAAUAAUAUAAUAUAUUACAAUAUAUUAUAAAAAUUAUACAAUAUAUGUACAAACGGUGCAUAUUUUACACUAUUUAUACAUAUAUUUACACCAUUUGUGUAAAUGUUGCACUAUUAUGAGAGAAUGUUGCACCAUUUAGAUGUGUGUUGCACUCUUUCUUUUUGAAAAUUAAAUUUCAUUGCAUAUUAAAUAAAGUGUCAAACUUCUUGAAAAUGACAACUGCUAAGCCAUAAUUACAUGUACCUUUCUCGUGAAACGAGAAACCUCAUUCAAAAGAAAAUAAAAAAAUAAAGAAUAAUUAGUAAGAUGAAAGAGUGCAACAUCCUCUCAAAUAGUGCAACAAGCUCUUCAAAAUAGUGCAAUAUCUGUAUAAGUAGUGCAACAUACGCAUUGUUAAUACACAUUUUACAUAAUUUUUACACUAAAUUACAUACAGUUUAAUAUAUUACGCGAAAAUAAUAUGCAACAUAUAAUAUAAUAAACUGUAUGUAAUUAAUUUAGUGUAAAAAUCAUACAAAAUGUGUAUUAACAAUGCAUAUGUUGCACUACUUAUACAGAUAUUGCACUAUUUUGAAGAGAUUGUUGCACUAUUUGAGAGGAUAUUGCACUCUUUCAUCUUAUUAAUUAAUCUUUAUUUUUUUUAUUUUCUCUUGAAUGAGGUUUCUCGUUUCACGAGAAAGGUACAUGCAUGUAAUUAUGGCUUAGCAGUUGUCAUUUCCAAGAAGUUUUACACUUCAUUUAAUAUGCAAUGAAAUUUAAUUUUCAAAAAGAAAGAGUGCAACACACAUCUAAAUGGUGCAACAUUCUCUCAUAAUAGUGCAAUAUUUACACAAAUGGUGUAAAUAUCUAUACAAAUAGUGUAAAAUAUGCACCGUUUGUACAUAUAUUGUAUAAUUUUUAUAGUAUGUUGUAAUAUAAUAUAUUAUUUUCGUGUAAUAUACUAUACCGUGCGUAAUUUAGUGUAAAAAUUAUACAAAAUAUUUAUUAACAAAGCAUAUGUCACUACAAGAAA
rnacentral:lncRNA from 1 species